rnacentral:rRNA from 1 species
GAGACUCUGUGCGCGUGCAUAUCAAUAAGCGGAGGAAAAGAAACUAACAAGGAUUCCCUUAGUAACGGCGAGUGAAGCGGGAAGAGCUCAAAUUUGAAAUCUUCAAGGUUCUACCUUGACGAAUUGUAGUUUAUAGAAGUGUUUUCUGUUAGUAGAGUGGCAAAAGUUCUUUGGAAUAGGACAUCAUAGAGGGUGAGAAUCCCGUAUUUGGUCAUUCUUUCUAGCUUUGUGAUACACUUUCAACGAGUCGGAUUGUUUGGGAAUGCAGUCCAAAAUGGGUGGUAAAUUUCAUCUAAAGCUAAAUAUUGGCGAGAGACCGAUAGCGAACAAGUACCGUGAGGGAAAGAUGAAAAGAACUUUGAAAAGAGAGUUAAACAGUACGUGAAAUUGUCAAAAGGGAAGCGUUUGACACCAGUGUUGUUUUUCCGAAAAUCAAUUACGAAUGUUUUAGUUUUUGAGGAAGUUAUGACUUCAUCGGCUUGCUCCUUUCUUUAUGAAACUUUCUUAAUGCACUUUUCGGUUAACAAGUCAACAUCAAUUUCUUUUGUUGUAAAAGGGUAUGAGGAAGGUGGCUUUCUUUUCGGAGAAAGUGUUUAUAGCCUUGUACCUCUGCAAUCGGAGAGAUUGAGGUCUGCAGCGUAGAUCCUUCGGGGUUAGAUACAUUUGUGCUAAGUUAUAGCUUUUCAUAGACAACUUGUUGACUAUGUUUAGUCUUGUAGCUUACUCGCUUACUGCUAUUUUACCUACGCUUAGGAUGUUGAACUCUAUCACACACAG